rnacentral:rRNA from 1 species
GAUGAACGCUGGCGGCGUGCUUAACACAUGCAAGUCGAACGGAAAGGCUCCUGCUUGCAGGGGUACUCGAGUGGCGAACGGGUGAGUAACACGUGGGUGAUCUGCCCUGCACUUCGGGAUAAGCCUGGGAAACUGGGGCUAAUACCGGAUAGGACGAUGGUUUGGAUGCCAUUGUGGAAAGUUUUUUCGGUGUGGGAUGGGCUCGCGGCGUAUCAGCUUGUUGGUGGGGUAUUGGCCUACGAAGGCGUCGACGGGUAGCCGGCCUGAGAGGGUGUACAGCCACCUUAGGACUGAGAGACGGCCCAGACUCCUACGGGCGGCAACAGUGGGGAAUAUGGCACAGUGGGCGCAAGCCUGCUGCAGAGGCGCUGCGUGGGGGAUGACGGCCUUCGGGUUGUAAACGCCAUUCGGUAGGGACGAAGCGCAAGUGACGGUACCUGGAGAAGAAGCACCGGCUAACUACGUG